GACGAACGCUGGCGGCGUGCUUAACACAUGCAAGUCGAGCGGUAAGGCUCCUUCGGGAGUACACGAGCGGCGAACGGGUGAGUAACACGUGAGCAAUCUGCCCUUCACACGGGGAUAACCCUCGGAAACGAGAGCUAAUACCCGAUACGACCACUUCAGGCAUCUGAUGGCGGUGGAAAGUUCCGGCGGUGGAGGAUGAGCUCGCGGCCUAUCAGCUUGUUGGUGGGGUAACGGCCCACCAAGGCAACGACGGGGAGCCGGCCUGAGAGGGUGAGCGGCCACACUGGGACUGAGGCACGGCCCAGACUCCUACGGGAGGCAGCAGUGGGGAAUAUUGGACAAUGGGCGAAAGCCUGAUCCAGCAACGCCGCGUGAGGGAUGACGGCCUUCGGGUUGUAAACCUCUUUCAGCAGGGACGAAGCGCAAGUGACGGUACCUGCAGAAGAAGCACCGGCCAACUACGUGCCAGCCGCCGCCGUAA
rnacentral:rRNA from 1 species